rnacentral:rRNA from 1 species
AAUCUCAACUUUAUUAGAAGAGACGCAUUUAUUAGAUAAAAAGCCAGUUCAUGCUUUUACAGUAUGAAAAUUGGUGAUUUAUAAUAACUUAGCAAAUCGCAAAGUGAAAACAGGCGAUAAAUCAUUCAAGUUUCUGACCUAUCAGCUUUCGACGGUAUGGUAUUGGCUUACCGUGGCAGUGACGGUUAACGGGGGAUUAGGGUUCGAUUCCGGAGAGGGAGCCUGAGAAACGGCUACCACAUCUAAGGAAGGCAGCAGGCGCGCAAAUUACCCAAUUCUAACAGUUUGAGAGAGGUAGUAACAAGAAAUAACAAUACAAGGCAGUUAAAAUGCUUUGUAAUUGGAAUGAUAGAAAUUUAAACCCUUUUUAAAGUAUCAAUUGGAGGGCAAGUCUGGUGCCAGCAGCCGCGGUAAUUCCAGCUCCAAUAGCGUAUAUUAAAAUUGUUGCAGUUAAAAAGCUCGUAGUUGAAGUUCUGCUGAAAGUAACCGGUCUGCUUUUAAUAAAAGUGGUAUCUUGGUAUGUAUUUAGCAAUGAUGUCCUUUGAAGUGUUUUUUACUUUAUUGUAAUAAAGCAUAUUCAGGACUUUUACUUUGAGAAAAUUAGAGUGUUUCUAGCAGG